GGUAGGGGACAACAGUUGGAAACGACUGCNNNNANCCUAUGAGCCCUAUGGGGGAAAGAUUUAUCGCCAUGAGAUGUGCCCGCGUUAGAUUAGCUAGUUGGUAAGGUAAUGGCUUACCAAGGCGACGAUCUAUAGCUGGUCUGAGAGGAUGAUCAGCCACACUGGGACUGAGACACGGCCCAGACUCCUACGGGAGGCAGCAGUGGGGAAUAUUGGACAAUGGGGGCAACCCUGAUCCAGCCAUGCCGCGUGUGUGAUGACGGCCUUAGGGUUGUAAAGCACUUUCAGCAGUGAAGAUAAUGACAUUAACUGCAGAAGAAGCCCCGGCUAACUUCGUGCCAGCAGCCGCGGUAAUACGAAGGGGGNNAGCGUUGUUCGGAAUCACUGGGCGUAANGAGUACGUAGGCGGACUGAUAAGUUAGGGGUGAAAUCCCAAGGCUCAACCUUGGAACUGCCUUUGAUACUGUCNGUCUUGAGAUCGAGAGAGGUGAGUGGAACUCCGAGUGUAGAGGUGAAAUUCGUANAUAUUCGGAAGAACNCCAGUGNCGAAGGCGGCUCACUGGCUCGAUACUGACGCUGAGGUACGAAAGCGUGGGGAGCAAACAGGANUNANAUACCCUGG
rnacentral:rRNA from 1 species